CAGGAUUCUGGGAUGGAAAUAAGUUGUCACUUAACAACGGUGGGAACUGCAGCACUGGGAAAAUCCUGCCCCCCCAAGUAGGGACUGUAGUUAUGUAAAGCACACUUGGGACAUGAAUUCACUCCAGGAGACUGUAUUUUGUGGUUUAUGUGUUGCAGGCAGUGGAGAACAAGAGGGCAUUUGUUUCUGCAAGAUGUUUAACCAGAUCUGAAAACCUCCCCAUGGCUGCACAGGGGUGCAAGUUUAGAAAGAGGGGAUGUCCCCCUGCAGCCAGGUGGAAGGGAGCACCAGACUUCAGAAAAAUUACUGCCUGUCUUCCCUCCCCCACGAGGCUGAAUCCCAGCACCCCAGAUUGUCGUGACUGCCUGGGAUUGGUGACAUCUCCACUGAAACGUGUUGGAGCAUCAAAACAGAGUGGGAGAAGCACAGCCUGGCUCCAGGAGCCAAAAAUAGGAGUCCCCCAACACAUCUGGUUCCAGCCAUGUGGCCCAGCACCUCAGCUGACCCUCUCAGGUAGCACACAGAAAGGGCAGAGGUGAGGUUUGAGAGGUGUGCUGGUAUCCCCAGGAGCGAUGGGCUGUGUUUUCCAGGCAUCCUCUGCUGUUGGUGGAAGGUUAUUUUUAUUUCUUUCAUUUCCCAAGCCCAGAGACAAAUGACUGUUUCUGUGUGCUAAGCAUCAAUUCUUCUCCUUUUGUUCUUAUCCUUUCUCCUCUCCACAGUUUUCCUCUCUCUUUGAAUUCUCUCAGAGUCUCACUUCCCCUGGCACAGGAGAAAACGUGGUGGUGUUUACAGAGCAGAAGCACUGGGCCUCAGGAGAUGUGAAAGGUGCCCCUGCUGGCUCUCCAACACCUCUCUGUGGUUCUGCUUUCUGACUUCUGUCAGGAUAACCUGGACUAAAACCCCUCUGUGCUUUUCCUGUGCGAUCCUACGGUGUCUAACACAACCUCAGGUAAGACCUCCAGGCACUCCCGUUAUAUGAAUGAGAACAAGAUUGUUGGUGUCAGUAAUUAACAUUCUUGUGGGAUUGUUGGAAAUGCUUUGGGAUAAACACCACCUGGAAUCCUUGCCUGGCUUCUGUGGUUUUUAAGAUGCAGAGGAGCCUGAUCCUGUUUGCAUGAGAGGGCAUGGACCAUCUGUCUCCACUCUUACUGGAUGGGCAGAGUCUUUCAGUCCAAAGAUGAGUUGCUGUGGCUCAGGGAGAAGUGAGACACUGGAGAAGUGAGGGCACAGACAGUAGGGAAGAAGAAUGGAGACUCAGUGGUCAGUGUGUCCCCAGUAAUGAUCUCAUCUGAGAACAACGGCUAAUGACAACCACCAAAACAGGAAAAUACAGUCACUGAGAAUGCUGGGAGUGCCUUGACACGGUGUCAUCCCUAACAGGCUUCCAGGGACAAAAUCUCCCUCUACUGACAUGGAAGGCAAAAUCCCACUGCCUGCAAUAACAUCUGGCUUUCCCCGUGGGGCUUACCUGCAUUUCUCUCCUUCUGGAUGCCCACAGACCCAUAUCCCACAUCGUUAUGCACUUUCUGAUAACAAAUGUGUUACCCUUUCUUUUUAAAUUAUGGAUUGGAUUCCAGUAAACCCUGAGUUUUGGAUUCCAGUAAACCCUGCAUUUUGGAGUCUAGGUUCCCUCCAUCUACCUCUGAAACGCCUAAAUAAACAAACAAGGGAUUAGACCUCAGCAGCUCCCCUGCUCAGCAAGGGAAGCCUUUAAAAGCAUUUUGCAGCAACUGCCCUGCUUGUGUUUCACACUCUGUCAGCCUGGGACUCCAGGAGCUCCACCCUUCUCUCAGCCGUCCCAGGGAAUUCACCUCGGUGAUUGGAACUGCCUCUGUUUAUGACCCUCCCUGACUCCAGUGAGGAGCUGGAGCUGCAGUUGACCUCAGGAGUGACAGAGGUACGUGCUGGGGUUGGAGGGUUUCUGCCAUAUGACCUGCUAACCUAGAAUUUGCUCGGCAAAGUCCAGAGGAUGACUUUUAACCUCAGAGCUGUGUGCAAAACUACAUCUGUGACCAAUAACCGUGACAAAUAAAUGAAAAAGAAAUAAAUCUAGCCCCUUCUGAAGGAUGAAAGACAGCACACCUUGGUGGGCACUGGUGCUGGAAUCAGGAUGGAGCUGGGAAUAAUCGGACAGGCCACGUUACCAGAAGCUGUCCACGGAUGGAGCCGAUGCCUCACACAAGGGAGGCAGCACAGCAGGUUACACUGAGGGUAUCUCAUAGCUCUAAGUCUUAAACUUAACGAGCCACGUCUUUAUUUGUGCUGCAGCCCCUUCUCAUCCCAAAUUGCCUUUACCAGCUGCCAGAGGAUGCCCGGGAACAGAAAAUUCUCCGGAUAACAAUAAAUUGGUGUAACGAUUCAGUGUCACCUCGCAUCCUGCUAAGCAAUAGAGAAAUCACGAUGAGGAAAAUAGGCACGACCAGAGUGGCACUGAACAGUGCAAUCCUAAUUCCAUCACCCUUCUUGUGGGCGACAGAUAACCCAGUGCAAUUUACAGCCGCUCUGAAGCGGCUCCAAGUCUCAGCAGGAGUCGGGAAAGCUCAGCCUAGCCUCGGGACCGAGGAGUCGGAAAGAUCAGGGGAGCUGUUGUUCCAUAACCUUGCCUCUGCACCAAAAUCAGGGGGCUGGUCUGGAAGGGGAAGCACUCCAAGCAAAACACAAAAUUUUAAUCAUGGAGGAUGAAAUGAACGUCCUCCUCGGGAUCCCCCUCUGGAGAAUAGCCUGUCUCUGAUGAUUGUGCACAGACUCCCAAAGAAGGUAAAUUCUGGAUUUAAAUCUCUACGUCACUGUGUGAAUGACAGUGUUAAAUCUUGGCUGGAAGGCUGAGAUAUCUCCAAGAGGAGAAAAACAUUUUUUCCACUUAAGUGGCUGAGGUAGAGGAGGUAAAUAUAUUGUCUCUCACUAUUAAAGGGCGAGGAAAUCAUUUAUACAUGUGAAUUACACCUUUGCACCUAACAGGGGAGGCUUUUUUUAAAUUCAAGAGUCUAAAAGUUUAGAAAUACCAACAUUAAGGUGACCUGUGCAACUGUAGUUUGUCCCUUCCAUGUAUUUGCAUUAUGAUACAGUAUUAAACUGUAAUUAGAUCACACGCUGUUCUUUCAACAGGUUCCUGGCCUCACUCAUUGUACAGAAUAGACUGUGCUCACUAAGUAAUAAUUUUAUUUUGUCCUCGCUGUUCACUGU